AUCAGCCCUCUGGGGACUUGGACUGAUUCUCCAGUUAGCGCAUACCUGUCCCACUCCUGUCUGCAAGAUUUGGAGCCCUGUCUGUGCUUCCAGUUCAGACUUCACCAGCCCUGCAGGGAGGACAAAGGGACCACUGCAGUGCUGGGUACAGAGAGGACACCAGAGCAUCUGAGACAAGUACAGCUAUUGGAGCCAGACCACCUGGGUUUGAAUCCUGCCUUUGCUACUGAUGAAUUAUGUAACCUUGGGCAAGUUGCUGAACCUCUCCAAGCCUCAAUUCCCUCAUCAAUAAAAUGGGGAUUUAUACCUCC
ensembl:lncRNA novel transcript